rnacentral:lncRNA from 1 species
UUGGACGGUUUAGAUCAAACGCGAUGGACGGUCUAGAUCAAAAGCAUACGGAUAUAAAUAACUCUUAUUUGCACCAAACCCUAACCUUAGCUGCCAGAACCUCUCGCCGGAGAAGAAAAUCGGGCUGUCAGGAAGUAGACCGCCACCACCCGCCGCCGCACCAAAACCCUUUUUGAUCGCCAAAAAGGAUAAAAACUUUUUUUUUUGCUCAAAAUUCAAUUUUAAGCACACCCAUGGCUAAAUUGGAGCAAAAAGACUGGUCAAUUGGACGAAAAAUGCCCACGAAGGUCGGCGGCGCCGUUGCGGGGAAUUUCACAAAAUGCCUCCGAUAAGGUCCUUUUCGAUUCCAGUUAUGUGUAAUUUUUCUACCGUUGUGACCAUGUCCUUCUCUACAGGUUGACCAAAGGAAAACACCCAACUGUGACGUGAGUCGGAGGAGCUGCCGCACUAGAGAGCCCUACCGCCAGUGAGUUUUAAUUUUUUGUGUUUUUUUCGACCAACUGAGACCCUUUAACGUGUUUUCUUGCAAAGAUCGAUGCAAAAUCAGCUGAGAACGGCCGACCCGAGGUGGACCGUCGUCGAUGUCAUUAGAGCACGCGGAGCCGCCGUGCUGGAAUUUUAAAAUUUGCCAAGUUUGUCCUGGGACUAAUUU